rnacentral:rRNA from 1 species
UGGGGAAUAUUGCACAAUGGGCGCAAGCCUGAUGCAGCCAUGCCGCGUGUAUGAAGAAGGCCUUCGGGUUGUAAAGUACUUUCAGCGGGGAGGAAGGUGUUGUGGUUAAUAACCACAGCAAUUGACGUUACCCGCAGAAGAAGCACCGGCUAACUCCGUGCCAGCAGCCGCGGUAAUACGGAGGGUGCAAGCGUUAAUCGGAAUUACUGGGCGUAAAGCGCACGCAGGCGGUCUGUCAAGUCGGAUGUGAAAUCCCCGGGCUCAACCUGGGAACUGCAUCCGAAACUGGCAGGCUUGAGUCUUGUAGAGGGGGGUAGAAUUCCAGGUGUAGCGGUGAAAUGCGUAGAGAUCUGGAGGAAUACCGGUGGCGAAGGCGGCCCUCUGGACAAAGACUGACGCUCAGGUGCGAAAGCGUGGGGAGCAAACA